AUACGGAGGAUCCGAGCGUUAUCCGGAUUUAUUGGGUUUAAAGGGAGCGUAGGUGGAUUGUUAAGUCAGUUGUGAAAGUUUGCGGCUCAACCGUAAAAUUGCAGUUGAAACUGGCAGUCUUGAGUACAGUAGAGGUGGGCGGAAUUCGUGGUGUAGCGGUGAAAUGCUUAGAUAUCACGAAGAACUCCGAUUGCGAAGGCAGCUCACUAGACUGUUACUGACACUGAUGCUCGAAAGUGUGGGUAUCAAACAGGAUUAGAUACCCUGGUAGUCCACACAGUAAACGAUGAAUACUCGCUGUUUGCGAUAUACAGUAAGCGGCCAAGCGAAAGCAUUAAGUAUUCAACCUGGGGAGUACGACGGCAACGGUGAA
rnacentral:rRNA from 1 species